rnacentral:rRNA from 1 species
GCAGAGCAUCCUACGGGAGGCAGCAGUGGGGAAUAUUGCACAAUGGGCGCAAGCCUGAUGCAGCCAUGCCGCGUGUAUGAAGAAGGCCUUCGGGUUGUAAAGUACUUUCAGCAGUGAGGAAGUGGAUAUGUUAAUAGCAUAUUCAUUUGACGUUUAGCUGCAGAAGAAGCACCGGCUAACUCCGUGCCAGCAGCCGCGGUAAUACGGAGGGUGCGAGCGUUAAUCGGAAUUACUGGGCGUAAAGCGCAUGCAGGUGGUUUGUUAAGUCAGAUGUGAAAGCCCGGGGCUCAACCUCGGAAUUGCAUUUGAAACUGGCAAACUAGAGUACUGUAGAGGGGGUAGAAUUUCAGGUGUAGCGGUGAAAUGCGUAGAGAUCUGAAGGAAUACCGGUGGCGAAGGCGGCCCCCUGGACAGAUACUGACACUCAGAUGCGAAAGCGUGGGGAGCAAACAGGAUUAGAUACCCUGGUAG